rnacentral:rRNA from 1 species
AGAGUUUGAUCCUGGCUCAGAGCGAACGUUAGCGGCACGCCUAACACAUGCAAGUCGCACGAGAAGGGGGCAACCUGAAAGUGGCCCGCACGGGUGCGUAACACGUAGAUAAUCUGCCCUUCGGCGGGGGAUAACGUUCCGAAAGGAGCGCUAAUACCGCAUACAGCUUUUUCUGGUUCGCCAGGGGGGAAGGCAAAGGUUGCCCGCAAGGGCCAAUCGCCGGAGGAGGAGUCUGCGGCCCAUCACGGGUUGGUAAGGUAACGGUUUACCAAGGCUUAGACGGGUAGCUGGUCUGAGAGGAUGAUCAGCCACUGGUACUGGUACACGGACCAGACUCCUACGGGAGGCAGCAGUGGGGAACUUGUGAACUCAAGUCAAUGGGCGCAGCCUGAACCAGCGAUGCCGCGUGAGUGAUGAAGGCCUUCGGGUUGUAAACACCUCUGUGGGAGGGACGAAAGCGCAGGUUCUAACAGGACCUGUUUUGACGGUACCGGGUGAAUAAGCACGGCUAACUCCGUGCCAGCAGCCGCGGUAAUAGCCGGGGUGGAGCGUUGUGGGGGAAUCAUGGCGUAAAGGGCGCGUAGGUGGUCUUAUAAGGGUCUGGUGAAGAGCCCGGGGCUCAACCCGGGUCGGCCGUGCCGACUGUGAGACUAGAGCGUUGCUGUAGGGCAGGCGGAAUUCCCCGGUAGCGGUGGAAUUUGUAGAGAUCCGGACCUUGACCGGUGGCGAAAGCGGCCUGCUGGGAGUUACUGACACUGAGGCGUCGACAGGGGGAGCAAACAGGAUUAGAUACCCUGGUAGCCACGCCGUAAACGAUGGGUACUAGGUGCCGGGGGAGCGACCCCGCUGUUGGGUGCCGGCGCAACGCAGUAAGUACCCCGCCUGGGGAUCGUACGGCCGCAAGGCGGAUGACGGGCCCGCACAGCGGUGGAGCAUGUGUUAGACGCACGCGAGACUUACCUAACAUGAUGCAAACUCUCAGAACGAGAGCUUCUCGGAUCAUGCACAGUGCUGCAUGCUGUCGUCACUCAUUCUGAAUGUGGUAGUUCCGCAACGGGCACCUGUCCUAGUACACGGUAUGCGGACCUAGGAACUGGCGGGUCCAACCGGAGGAAGGUGGGAACGAAGC